rnacentral:rRNA from 1 species
GAGGUGUAGCGUAUAGGUAUGCGCUUCGUGGCGCCUUUCAAUGCUCGAAGAUUCGCUGGAAUGUGCUUAACCAUAGAAGGUAAAAGGCCUGUACGAGUGUUGAUGGUGCUGCAUGCGUGUGCUUUGGAGUCGAGUUGCUUGAGAUCGCAGCUCAAAGUGGGUGGUAUACCUCAUCUAAGGCUAAAUAUGGCUACGAGACCGAUAGCAAACAAGUACCGUGAGGGAAAGUUGAAAAGAACUUUGAAGAGAGAGUUAAACAGGACGUGAAACCACUAGGGACGAAGCGGAUGGAGUUGACGAAACUAACAGUAUUCAAUAUUGUGCGUUCGCAUGGCGGGGUCGUUGCGGUGUGCAACACGUUGUGCGCCGUUGCGGCCUUGAUAGUUGUGGACGUGCGGUUUGCAUUUGCUGUUAAUAUGUGCUGAGAGGUCUGGUUGCUUCUUCCUAACUUUGGUGCGUUGCCCUACGUCUUUGGCGAAGGUGUCUUGUACCGGAGGGAUGUUGAUAGCGGCUAGGCUCCGAUAGCAGCUUGCGAUUGCGCGGUUAGUGCAGCGUAGUGUGCUGUGCGUGAGCGGUGGCUUGCCACUUGUUUGCGAUGUCGGUACAUUAUGUUUGUGCUGGACGCUACAGAUAGCUGUCUCAGUAUGCCAAGUCAGCCACCCAUCCGACCCGUCUUGAAACACGGACCAAGAAGUCUAGCAUGUGCGCGAGUCAUUGGGCGUAAAAACCUAAAGGCGAAAUGAAAGUGAAGGCCGACUUGGUGCGGCUGAUAUGGGAGUCGUGUUCGUGCGCGUUCGCGACGCACCAUAGCCCCAUCCCGUGAGCUUGCUCGGGGGUGGAGGAAGAGCGUACAUGCUGGGACCCGAAAGAUGGUGAACUAUGCCUGAGCAGGAUGAAGUCAGAGGAAACUCUGAUGGAAGUCCGAAGCGGUUCUGACGUGCAAAUCGAUCGUCUGACUUGGGUAUAGGGGCGAAAGACUAAUCGAACCAUCUAGUAGCUGGUUCCAGCCGAAGUUUCCCCCAGGAUAGCUGGAGUACGUUAACGCAGUUAUAUUCGGUAAAGCGAAUGAUUAGAGGAAUUGGGGAUGAAAUGUCCUCAACCUAUUCUCAAACUUUCAAUGAGUAUGAUGUUUGUGUUGCUUGACUGAACACAGACAGCGAAUGUGUGCUCCAAGUGGGCCANUUUUUGGUAAGCAGAACUGGCGAUGCGGGAUGAACCGAACGUUGGGUUAAGGUGCCUAACUUCCCGCUCAUGAGACCCCAUGAAAGGUGUUGGUUGAUCUUGACAGCAGGACGGUGGCCAUGGAAGUCGGAAUCCGCUAAGGAGUGUGUAACAACUCACCUGCCGAAUCAACUAGCCCUGAAAAUGGAUGGCGCUUGAGCGGGAGACCUAUACCCGACCGUUGGCUUAGCUUGUUCGCAAGAGCGACUGGCUCCAACGAGUAGGCUGGUCGUAGUGGUUUGCGUAGAAGGCUUUGGGCGUAGGCCCGGCUGGAGCUUCCACUAGUGCAGAUCUUGGUGGUAGUAGCAAAUAUUCAAGUGAGAUCCUUGAAGACUGAAGUGGGGAAGGUUUCCACGUGAACAGUAGUUGAAUGUGGGUCAGUCGAUCCUAAGAUACUGGCUAAUGCCUUGUAUCAAGGGGUGUUACGGAGUCUCUUCGUACCCCGAUGUCGAAAGGGAAAAGGGUUAAUAUUCCCUUACCUGGUCACGGAGAUUAGUGCACCUUUGGUGUGCUUUGAGCGGUAACGCAAACGAACUCGGCGACGCUGAGUAAUGCCCGAGCUAGAGAUCUCUUUUCUGGUUAAGGAACGGACUCCCUGGAAACAGCUCAGCUGGAGAUAGGGACGUUGUUUCCGUAAAGCGCCACGGUUUCUGUGGUGUCUCGUGUGCAUUGCUCGGCCCUUGAAAAGCCGAGGGAGUCAAUUUGAAUCUCGUGCCAGAUCGUACCGAUAUCCGCAGCAGGUCUCCAAGGUGAACAGCCUCUAGUCGAUAGAAUAAUGUAGGUAAGGGAAGUCGGCAAAUUUGAUCCGUAACUUUGGGAAAAGGAUUGGCUCUAAGGACUGAGUCGUUCGGGCUCUGCGAUGAAGCUUGCGUGGUUGUGUCACGCAUGGGUGCGGCCUCGGCCAAGCUCGUGCUAAUGGCUCGACUGCCUUGUGGACUCACUUAGCUGUGUGCGGGCGUUCUCGCUCGUACUUCGGGCGACACUAAACAGUUGACUUAGAACUGGUACGGACACGGGGAAUCCGACUGUCUAAUUAAAACAGAGGAGACAGAUGGUCCUUGCGGACGUUGACUGUCUCUGAUUUCUGCCCAGUGCUCUGAAUGUUAACGUGGAGUAAUUCACUUAAGCGCGGGUAAACGGCGGGAGUAACUAUGACUCUCUUAAGGUAGCCAAAUGCCUCGUCAUCUAAUUAAUGACGCGCAUGAAUGGAUUAACGAGAUUCCCACUGUCCCUAUCUACUAUCUAGCGAAACCACAGCCAAGGGAACGGGCUUGGCAAAAACAGCGGGGAAAGAAGACCCUGUUGAGCUUGACUCUAGUUUGACUCUGUGAAGAGUCAUGAGAGGUGUAGUAUAAGUGGGAGACUUCGGUCGACAGUGAAAUACCACUACUUUCAUCGAUUCUUUACUUAUUCGGUGAUGCGAGGAUUGAGCUUUCGGGCUCUUCAUUCUUGUGUUAAGCACGGCUGAUUGUCGGCAGUGUGACUCGCACCGAAGACAGUGUCAGGCGGGGAGUUUGACUGGGGCGGUACAUCUGUCAAAUUGUAACGCAGGUGUCCUAAGGUUGGCUCAGAGAGGACGGAAACCUCUCGUAGAGCAAAAGGGCAAAAGCCCACUUGAUCUUGAUUUUCAGCACGAAUACAGACCGCGAAAGCGUGGCCUAUCGAUCCUUAAAACCUAGAAGGUUUCUAGUUUAAGGUGUCGGAAAAGUUACCACAGGGAUAACUGGCUUGUGGCAGCCAAGCGUCCAUAGCGACGUUGCUUUUUGAUCCUUCGAUGUCGGCUCUUCCUAUCAUUGCGAAGCAGAAUUCGCCAAGCGUUGGAUUGUUCACCCACCAAUAGGGAACGUGAGCUGGGUUUAGACCGUCGUGAGACAGGUUAGUUUUACCCUACUGUUGACAAGUUGUUACGAUAGUAAUCCUACUCAGUACGAGAGGAACAGUAGGUUCAGACAAUUGGUUUAUGCGCCUGGCCGAUAGGCCAAUGGUGCGACGCUACCAUCUGCGGGAUUAUGACUGAACGCCUCUAAGUCAGAAUCCCAUCUAGUCAAGGUAACGAUAUCGUUGCUUCCCGGGUGUCGGGAGGCACACUUAUGUAGUCGUAAGGCUACAGCUUAUGCCCUAUUUGCUGACCUUGCCCGUUCGGGGAAUCUGAACGGGUUGUCAUGCCGGAUCACUCCGGUUCAAUGUCGGGGCGCAAGAUCACUUGUAUACGACUUGAUUACUGGUCAAGGUGUUGUAUUUAGUAGAGC